rnacentral:tRNA from 1 species
GUUGUUUCUAGUUUAUUUAGAAUGUCGGCUUGUCGUGUCGGUGGUGUAUUUUGUACGAAACAA